ACGGCGUGCCUAUUGAAGAAUGAACCGGCGAGUUGAUUUAUACUGCGAGGUUAAGCGGGAGACGCGGAGCCGCAGCGAAAGCGAGUCUUAAGAGGGCGGAAGUAGUAUGGAUCAGACCCGAAACCACAGUGAUCUAUGCAUGUCCAGGUUGAAGCUCAGGUAAAAAUGAGUGGAGGACCGAACCGGUGAGUGUUGAAAAACUUUCGGAUGAGGUGUGCAUAGGGGUGAAAUGCCAAUCGAACGUGGAGAUAGCUGGUUCUCCCCGAAAUAGCUUUAGGGCUAGCCUUAAGCGAAUAACCAUAAAGACGGUAGAGCACUGAUCGGGCAAGGGGGCGUAAAGCCUACCGACCCCAGUCAAACUACGAAUGGCUUCUAUGGGCAGCUUAGGAGUCAGCGUGCGAGUGAUAAGACCCGUACGCAAGAGGGAAACAGCCCAGACCGCCGGCUAAGGUCCCAAAUGCUGUGCUAAGUGGAAAAGGAUGUAGGACUUCGAAAACAACCAGGAUGUUGGCUCAGAAGCAGCCACCAUUAAAAGAGUGCGUAAUAGCUCACUGGUCGAGAGGCUCUGCGCCGAAAAUAUCCGGGGCUCAAGCACAGAACCGAAGCCGCGGCAAAGUACUAAGGUACUUUGGGUAGGGGAGCGUUCUUACUUGGAAGAAGGCAGACCGGAAGGACUGCUGGACGAGUAAGAAGUGAGAAUGCCGGUAUGAGUAGCGAAACGACAGGUGAGAAUCCUGUCCACCGAAAGCCUAAGGGAUCCUGGGCAACGCUCGUCGCCCCAGGGUAAGUCGGGACCUAAGCCGAGGCGUAAAGCAUAGGCGAUGGACAACCGGUGAAAAUUCCGGUACCGGGUCAGUUUGUUUGAGGAUGGAGUGACGCAGGAAGGAAGCUGAGCGCGCGACUGGUUGGGCGCGUCGAAGGCGGUAGGCUAGUACGGAGGCAAAUCCCCGUACUAUAAGGCCGAGAACCGAUAGAUAGGAGAGACUACGGUCAAUCUGAAUUCAGCCGCACUACACUGCCAAGAAAAGCUUCUAACGAGAACUGAUCCGCCCGUACCAAAACCGACACAGGUAGGCGGGGAGAGAAUCCUAAGGUGCGCGGGAAAACCCUCGUUAAGGAACUCGGCAAAAUGCAUCCGUAACUUCGGGAAAAGGAUGGCCGGAGGUUGUGAAGUUACUAGCUAAUGGAGCGACAGCCGGCGGCAGAAAAGAGGCCCAAGCGACUGUUUACCACAAACACAGGUGCCUGCGAAAGCGCAAGCUGAAGUAUAGGUGCUGACGCCUGCCCGGUGCAGGAAGGUUAAGGAGAGUUGUUAUCCCUAGAGGAGAAGCAGCGAACUGAAGCCCCUGUAAACGGCGGCCGUAACUAUAACGGUCCUAAGGUAGCGAAAUUCCUUGUCGGGUAAGUUCCGACCCGCACGAAAGGCGUAACGAUUUGGGCACUGUCUCAACGAGGGACCCGGUGAAAUUGAAAUACCUGUGAAGAUGCAGGUUACCCGCGACUGGACAGAAAGACCCCAUGGAGCUUUACUGCAGCUUGGCAUUGGUCUUUGGCAUAUAACGUACAGGAUAGCCGGGAGACUGGGAAAAUAUCUCGCUAGAGGUAUUGGAGUCACCGUUGGGAUACCGGCCUUUAUAUGCUAAGGAUCUAACCGAAACAUUAACAGUGUUCGGGACAGUACCAGGCGGGCAGUUUGACUGGGGCGGUCGCCUCCGAAAGAGCAACGGAGGCGUCCAAAGGUUCCCUCAGCGCGGACAGAAAUCGCGCGCAGAGCAUAAAGGCAGAAGGGAGCUUGACUGCGAGACUGACGGGUCGAGCAGGUACGAAAGUAGGGCUUAGUGAUCCGGUGGAAAGAGAGUGGAAUUGCCAUCGCUCAACGGAUAAAAGCUACCCUGGGGAUAACAGGCUAAUCUCUCCCAAGAGUCCAUAUCGACGGGGAGGUUUGGCACCUCGAUGUCGGCUCAUCACAUCCUGGGGCUGAAGCAGGUCCCAAGGGUUGGGCUGUUCGCCCAUUAAAGUGGUACGUGAGCUGGGUUCAGAACGUCGUGAGACAGUUCGGUCCAUAUCCAUCGCGGGCGCAAGAUACAUGAGGGAGGCUGCUCCUAGUACGAGAGGACCGGAGUGGACGAACCAACGGUGUACCGGUUGUCCUGCCAAGGGCACGGCCGGGUAGCUGCGUUCGGAAGGGAUAAACGCUGAAAGCAUCUAAGCGUGAAGCCCGUCCCGAGAUGAAGUAUCUCAUCUUAUUAAGAGAGUAAGACCCCUUGCAGAAGACGAGGUAGAUAGGCUGGGCGUAGAAGUGCGGCAACGCAUGCAGCUGACCAGUACUAAUCGGUCGAGGGCUUGAUUUA
rnacentral:rRNA from 1 species